GAAAGCACCCGACGACCCGACAUUUAUAAAUCGGCAAGCAGGACAGUUUAAAGAUAUGCGAGAGAAGUACCACCGGACAUUUCUGUUUCUCAUUCCAUUUCUAAUAUCUUCAGUACAUUGCCAAUUAUCUUGUCAUCGAAUACCAACUUCAUUUUGUUGUACUUCAAGAAUACGGGAUCAAUGUCCAGAACAGUGUGCUUCAGUCCAAUGUGGCACUGAUUUUAUUCAUAGUUUAUUCUCAACUGAUGGUUCUCGACGGCCGGCACCAAGCGGAGCACACGAUGGGAAUGCAAAUAUUGGAGGAACAGGAAGUGUGGAUAAUUUGAGAUCUGCUUUCGGAUCCGCUGGAGAUUCCGAUCCUUCCAUAACCUCGUUUGAAAAACCCGAUCAAUCUGUCCCAGGAGCUGCCACGUGGAAUUCCAACUCUGGAGAUGCAAGAAUCGGAGCACAGAAAGCAACAACUACUCCAGCUCCAACUGGAUUCCCUACUCUUAUUCCAUUUUCCUCCGAGCCCUGGACCACUGGAACUCAGACUCCACUGGCUCCUGCUGCAAGCUCUGCAGUUCCAGAAAUUCAAGCACCAAGUAGAAUUCCAGGUCCAGAGCUUCCAGUGAGAAUCCCGGCUCCAACGAUGAGCCCAUGGAAUCCAAGUUCUCGAAGGAAUGCUCAUCGACACCGUACAACACCUGAUCCAAGAAUAAUCCGUCCUCCAGAGUCACUCGUAGUUAUUGGAGAUUAUGAUGAAGAUGAACCUCCGUCUGAAAAUGCAGUGGUUGACUCACCUCAACCAUUUGUGACGUCACCUCCUCCAGCUCAACCACUCUUCCCUCAACAGACUCCACCCCCACCUGCAUCACCUCUUAUCAGUAACAGUGGAGAUGUAUUUGCAAGAUCAAGGAAGGAAAUAAGUGGAGCACCGGAUUCGGAGCAACAAUCUGGAAGUGCUGCGACAUUGAGAGACUCAUCGGUAAUAUCAUCAAAUCCAUCAUCAAUUCCCUAUCUUGUUCGCCGUUUCUCAUCUCGAAGCUCCUCCCCUUCUUUUGCUCAUUCUCGAGCUCAUCAUCGUCUUAUCUGCCGUCUCACUACACCUGGCCGCCUUGCUUGUAAUCGUCCAAUUUCCCGACUUUACAAAAAUCGUUACGUCACACCGCCUAAAUCAUGGAAUCGACCGGAUGUUCGGAAGACGAGUCCGUUGAGAAUUCGCAAGAAAAAUUUUGCGACGACUAAAAUUCAUAUCACUCCGUUUAUGGGUGAACUUGCGAGAAAACGACGGAAAUUAGAUAGUGGUUCAUCUCACGAAUGGAAGGUGUCUAUAAUUCCACGUGGACAGAAUAAAAAACCGGCAAAUGUGAAGUCAAUUCCACCAUUUACAAUUGAUGGAAAAGCUGAUGAGAGGUUUAAUAAAUUUUAUAGAACAAUUGACAGUGUGAUAAACAAUUUGGAUUUGACAAACGGAGGAAAUUUACACGAAAGGGAGGGUGAACCACAAAUACGAUUAGAGGGAAGCACUGGAAACUCAAAGGAUCUAUCAGUAGAAUCAUCUGCAGCUGUAAUAGUACCCCGUACUACUGUAGCUCCAGGUGUUACUAAUAAAGUCAGUGUAAUACCAUUCCGUCCACUACACUUUACUGCUCCACCGAGAAACGGUCCACCAGGAGUUGCUCCGCCAAAAGGAGCAGCUGGAAAUGAACAAUGUGGUGUUUCUCCUGAUUUUACUCCGUGUGUUAGCAAUGAAAUUGCGAGUAAAUCACUUUUAGAAUGUUGUAAACGAAAGAAUUUACCUGCUGGAUGUCAACAAUUAUGCAGAUAUGAUAUUACACAGACAGAGAUCCGUGCUGCAAUGGACCGUGGACAAUGUGGAAUAUUUAACGUGGCUCCAUUCUUAGAAUGUGCAUCACAGGGAAAAGAUAAUUCAGAGUGUUGUAGGCACAGGGGAAUUGUUCAGAAAACAGGACCCCAAUGUGAGCAAUUCUGUCGUCCGGCUCAAGGACUUUCAUCUCUUGGAGUUCAGCAUAUUGUAUGUGGAAAUGCAGUUGGUGAUAUGCUUCAUUGUCAUCAUUCUGGUGUUCGAAUUUAA
rnacentral:misc_RNA from 1 species